GUACUCACCUGGCAGGAGAGAGACCAUGAUCCUGAAGAUGGUUUCACAGAGCAAGACUUAUCCAUUGCACUCAGAUGUGCUGACACCUUUGAUUUCCCCAAACGCAGGAAACUUAACUGUCUAAUGGUGGUAGUGCGGACUUGGUUCCCACGCUCCCUG
rnacentral:snRNA from 11 species